UAGGCUAUAACUCAGUGGUAAAGCAUUCACCUAGCAGGUGAAGGUCCUGGAUUCAAUUCCCAGUAGCAUAA
rnacentral:tRNA from 1 species